CUAUUGCGCAAGAUAUUGCAAACAGGUUUAAAGAUGACAAGUCGAUUUACUACCACAAAGAUCCUAUUACCUUGAGACCAGCAGGCCGCUUGUACGAUAAAUAUUACAACACAUUGAAGAGAUUGAGGAAAUCCGGUGAAUUAGUGGACCCAGAAAGUUCAACUCCUGAGGCAUCACCGACAGAAGAAUAUACAUUUACUUUCGAGGAUGAAAAAUGUAACGCCACCACAAUAGCUUUUGUUUUGUAAUUAUUUCAUAUUUUUUUAUGCAGCUGCCUAUGACUGGCUCAAACUUUUUGAUUCGCCGUGGAGCACAGUUGAAGCAAAUUGGAAAAAACCUUCAAAAUCAGACGACAAGAAAUUUUGAACUCAAGUGGUAGCACAUCAGCGAAAACUUUACGGGCCUGGAAACUUUUUUCCCAUUCAUGUGGAUACAAUCUGAUUGAUAUUGACUUCAAUGCUCUACAUCAGAAUUGCUCACAGCUAACAGAGAAAUGGCAAGGUUUUAGAACAAAAAU